rnacentral:rRNA from 1 species
GGAUCCAGACUUUGAUCCUGGCUCAGGAUGAACGCUAGCUACAGGCUUAACACAUGCAAGUCGAGGGGAAACGAUAGAGAAAGCUUGCUUUUUCUAGGCGUCGACCGGCGCACGGGUGAGUAACGCGUAUCCAACCUGCCCAUCACUUGGGGAUAACCUUGCGAAAGUAAGACUAAUACCCAAUGAUAUCUCUAGAAGACAUCUGAAGGAGAUUAAAGAUUUAUCGGUGAUGGAUGGGGAUGCGUCUGAUUAGCUUGUUGGCGGGGUAACGGCCCACCAAGGCGACGAUCAGUAGGGGUUCUGAGAGGAAGGUCCCCCACAUUGGAACUGAGACACGGUCCAAACUCCUACGGGAGGCAGCAGUGAGGAAUAUUGGUCAAUGGGCGAGAGCCUGAACCAGCCAAGUAGCGUGCAGGAUGACGGCCCUAUGGGUUGUAAACUGCUUUUAUAAGGGAAUAAAGUGAGCCUCGUGAGGCUUUUUGCAUGUACCUUAUGAAUAAGGACCGGCUAAUUCCGUGCCAGCAGCCGCGGUAAUACGGAAGGUCCGGGCGUUAUCCGGAUUUAUUGGGUUUAAAGGGAGCGUAGGCCGGAGAUUAAGCGUGUUGUGAAAUGUAGAUGCUCAACGUCUGCACUGCAGCGCGAACUGGUUUCCUUGAGUACGCACAAAGUGGGCGGAAUUCGUGGUGUAGCGGUGAAACGCUUAGAUAUCACGAAGAACUCCGAUUGCGAAGGCAGCUCACUGGAGCGCAACUGACGCUGAAGCUCGAAAGUGCGGGUAUCGAACAGGAUUAGAUACCCUGGUAGUCCGCACGGUAAACGAUGGAUGCCCGCUGUUGGUCUGAAUAGGUCAGCGGCCAAGCGAAAGCAUUAAGCAUCCCACCUGGGGAGUACGCCGGCAACGGCGCAACUCAAAGGAAUUGACGG